rnacentral:rRNA from 1 species
AUUGAACGCUGGCGGCAGGCUUAACACAUGCAAGUCGAGCGAGCGGCGGUAGGGUGAGUAAUUUCUGGGAAACUGCCUGAUUGAGUGGGAUAACUACUGGAAACUGUAGCUAAUCCCGCUUUCCAUCCCAUUGGCCCAGAUGGGAUUAGCUAGUGGGUGGGGUAAUGGCUCAACUAGGCGACGAUCCCUCGCUGGUCUGAGAGGAUGACCAGCCACACUGGAACUGAGACACGGUCCAGACUCCUACGGGAGGCAGCAGUGGGGAAUAUUGCACAAUGGGCGCAAGCCUGAUACAGCCAUGCCGCGUGUGUGAAGAAGGCCUUCGGGUUGUAAAGCACUUUCAGCGAGGAGGCGUUACUCGCAGAAGAAGCACCGGCUAACUCCGUGCCAGCAGCCGCGGUAAUUC